rnacentral:miRNA from 1 species
GGAGGGAGUGUGGGCUCGGC